GCAUCGAUGAAGNACGCAGCGAAAUNCNAUAACUAAUGUGAAUUGCAGAAUUCAGUGAAUCAUCGAGUCUUUGAACGCACCUUGCGCCCUUUGGUACUCCGAAGGGCAUGCCUGUUGAGUGUCAGUAACUU
rnacentral:rRNA from 1 species